GGGCGGGGAGAGGUGCGCAUGCGCACGGGCCGGCGGGACCCAGGACGCUGCAGGCCUCCAGACGCAACGCGAGGGGUUCCCCCGGGAGCACCUCCUUCAGCGCCGGGGUUUCAGAGCUUGGGCCAGUAUUCCAGCGUCCUAAAUGUGUCAGGGAAACUGCCAGAAGCGGCGGAGCCGACAGCACGGUGCGGACGAGGACCACAGGCAGCUGAAGAAAUGGAAGUUCUGAGAAACUAAGGGGCUUCCCUGAUGCUUGCAGAUGAGGCAAGGACGAAUGGAGAAUCGGGCUUUGGACGCCACAAGGGGGCUUUUGUUGGAAUCUUUCUGUUCUAUUUCCCCAGCAUUGCAAUGAUCCUCCAACAACCAGUUUCGUCUCUUCAGCUAUAGUUCUUACUUCCCGUCUGCUGUCACUGCAGGUGAUACCCCACGUGCACCUCUCCUGGGUGACAGUGGACUUCCGUAACACCCAGCACUGCCCAGACGGAGCACCGCUGACCACGGAGACACCAACACACGAUCAUGGAAACUUGGUUCUACCGUGGCUCGCUCUGCCCGCGUUCUGGAGAGAGGCUGUCUUGCGGGACUCAGAGAUGACAGAGGGACAUUGAGGCCAAGUUCUGAGAGUGGCCCGUUCCAAGGAAUGGGACGUGGAACUAUCGUCCACCCAGGUGCUCAAGCCACAAACCGAGGGGUCAGCCUUAAUCUCUCUUUCUGUCACCUGCCACGUGCAACCGACUCCACACCCAGUCCACAUCCCAAACCCAUCUGCGGCUUCCAUUGUUGCCACUUCUAUGGUGGUUGGAGACACCACGCAGUAGGCCUCAGACAAGAUUCCCCGUUUCUACUCUUGUUCCUUUAGAGAGCUGGUGUAGUCUUUUUUAUUUUUGUAUUUUUUAAAUUUUUAAAAAUGUUUAUUUAUUUUUGCAAGAAAGAGAGCCAGGGAGGGGCAGAGAGAGAGGGAGACACAGAAUCUGAAGCAGGCUCCAGGCCCUCAGCUGUCAGCCCAGAGCCUGACACGGGACUCGAACUCCUGGCCGGUGAGAUCACGACCUGUGCUGAAGUGGGCAAUUAACCGACUGAGCCACCCGGGAGCCCCUGGCAUAGUCUGUUUUAAAAAUAUAAAUCAUAACAUAUCACUUUGCCAAUUCUCGAAUGGCUCUCCAUCAUAUGUAAAUUAAAAUCCACACUUCUCGCCUGAAUAACCCCAACCCUCAUCUUGUGCCUCUCUGCCCUUACUCACCAAGCUCUGGCCAUAGUGGCUUCCUCUCUGCUCUCCCAACACCCCAGGCUUGGUUGAAAUGUACUUCCCCUGGUUUUUUCACAGGCCUCCUUUUAAGGACUCAGCUUGACAGUUACCUUCUUAGAGAAAACUCCCCUGAGUACCUGUCCUGAAGUAACCACCCAGUUCCAUCACACUGCUGUUUCCUCAGCACAGCGCUUACUUCUGGCGGGUCCUUGUGUGUAUGUGUGUGCCUUCAGUCUCAAACUUUUGUGGAGUGGAUGAAAGCUAAGGCCUAUUCCUCCAUCUCCCCGGUGGGAGACAGGAACUACUGAGCAGGGGUCAAGACUGUCAGAACUUUGUGGGGUGCACGGUGGCUCAGUCGGUGAGGCAUCUGACUCCGGAUUUUGGCUCAGGUCAUGAUCUCAUGGUUGUGGGCUCUGGCCCCACAUUGUGCCCUGUGCUGACAGCUCGGAGUCUGCUUGGGAUUCUCUCUCUCCCCGUCUCCCUCUCUCUCGCUCCCUCCCUCUCUCCCUCCCUCUCUCUCUCAAAAUAAAUAAACAUUAAAUAAAAAACUGUAAUAACUUUAUUUCAGAUUUUUUUUUAACUUCCUCAU